UACGGAGGGUGCAAGCGUUAUCCGGAUUCACUGGGUUUAAAGGGUGCGUAGGUGGGCAGGUAAGUCAGUGGUGAAAUCUCCGGGCUUAACCCGGAAACUGCCAUUGAUACUACAGGUCUUGAAUUUUCUGGAGGUAAGCGGAAUAUGUCAUGUAGCGGUGAAAUGCUUAGAUAUGACAUAGAACACCAAUUGCGAAGGCAGCUUGCUACAGGGAUAUUGACACUGAGGCACGAAAGCGUGGGGAUCAAACAGG
rnacentral:rRNA from 1 species